GGGUUGUGAGGUUAAGCGACUAAGCGUACACGGUGGAUGCCCUGGCAGUCAGAGGCGAUGAAGGACGUGCUAAUCUGCGAUAAGCGUCGGUAAGGUGAUAUGAACCGUUAUAACCGGCGAUUUCCGAAUGGGGAAACCCAGUGUGUUUCGACACACUAUCAUUAACUGAAUCCAUAGGUUAAUGAGGCGAACCGGGGGAACUGAAACAUCUAAGUACCCCGAGGAAAAGAAAUCAACCGAGAUUCCCCCAGUAGCGGCGAGCGAACGGGGAGCAGCCCAGAGCCUGAAUCAGUGUGUGUGUUAGUGGAAGCGUCUGGAAAGGCGCGCGAUACAGGGUGACAGCCCCGUACACAAAAAUGCACAUGCUGUGAGCUCGAUGAGUAGGGCGGGACACGUGGUAUCCUGUCUGAAUAUGGGGGGACCAUCCUCCAAGGCUAAAUACUCCUGACUGACCGAUAGUGAACCAGUACCGUGAGGGAAAGGCGAAAAGAACCCCGGCGAGGGGAGUGAAAAAGAACCUGAAACCGUGUACGUACAAGCAGUGGGAGCACGCUUAGGCGUGUGACUGCGUACCUUUUGUAUAAUGGGUCAGCGACUUAUAUUCUGUAGCAAGGUUAACCGAAUAGGGGAGCCGAAGGGAAACCGAGUCUUAACUGGGCGUUAAGUUGCAGGGUAUAGACCCGAAACCCGGUGAUCUAGCCAUGGGCAGGUUGAAGGUUGGGUAACACUAACUGGAGGACCGAACCGACUAAUGUUGAAAAAUUAGCGGAUGACUUGUGGCUGGGGGUGAAAGGCCAAUCAAACCGGGAGAUAGCUGGUUCUCCCCGAAAGCUAUUUAGGUAGCGCCUCGUGAAUUCAUCUCCGGGGGUAGAGCACUGUUUCGGCAAGGGGGUCAUCCCGACUUACCAACCCGAUGCAAACUGCGAAUACCGGAGAAUGUUAUCACGGGAGACACACGGCGGGUGCUAACGUCCGUCGUGAAGAGGGAAACAACCCAGACCGCCAGCUAAGGUCCCAAAGUCAUGGUUAAGUGGGAAACGAUGUGGGAAGGCCCAGACAGCCAGGAUGUUGGCUUAGAAGCAGCCAUCAUUUAAAGAAAGCGUAAUAGCUCACUGGUCGAGUCGGCCUGCGCGGAAGAUGUAACGGGGCUAAACCAUGCACCGAAGCUGCGGCAGCGACGCUUAUGCGUUGUUGGGUAGGGGAGCGUUCUGUAAGCCUGUGAAGGUGUGCUGUGAGGCAUGCUGGAGGUAUCAGAAGUGCGAAUGCUGACAUAAGUAACGAUAAAGCGGGUGAAAAGCCCGCUCGCCGGAAGACCAAGGGUUCCUGUCCAACGUUAAUCGGGGCAGGGUGAGUCGACCCCUAAGGCGAGGCCGAAAGGCGUAGUCGAUGGGAAACAGGUUAAUAUUCCUGUACUUGGUGUUACUGCGAAGGGGGGACGGAGAAGGCUAUGUUGGCCGGGCGACGGUUGUCCCGGUUUAAGCGUGUAGGCUGGUUUUCCAGGCAAAUCCGGAAAAUCAAGGCUGAGGCGUGAUGACGAGGCACUACGGUGCUGAAGCAACAAAUGCCCUGCUUCCAGGAAAAGCCUCUAAGCAUCAGGUAACAUCAAAUCGUACCCCAAACCGACACAGGUGGUCAGGUAGAGAAUACCAAGGCGCUUGAGAGAACUCGGGUGAAGGAACUAGGCAAAAUGGUGCCGUAACUUCGGGAGAAGGCACGCUGAUAUGUAGGUGAAGUCCCUUGCGGAUGGAGCUGAAAUCAGUCGAAGAUACCAGCUGGCUGCAACUGUUUAUUAAAAACACAGCACUGUGCAAACACGAAAGUGGACGUAUACGGUGUGACGCCUGCCCGGUGCCGGAAGGUUAAUUGAUGGGGUCAGCGCAAGCGAAGCUCUUGAUCGAAGCCCCGGUAAACGGCGGCCGUAACUAUAACGGUCCUAAGGUAGCGAAAUUCCUUGUCGGGUAAGUUCCGACCUGCACGAAUGGCGUAAUGAUGGCCAGGCUGUCUCCACCCGAGACUCAGUGAAAUUGAACUCGCUGUGAAGAUGCAGUGUACCCGCGGCAAGACGGAAAGACCCCGUGAACCUUUACUAUAGCUUGACACUGAACAUUGAGCCUUGAUGUGUAGGAUAGGUGGGAGGCUUUGAAGUGUGGACGCCAGUCUGCAUGGAGCCGACCUUGAAAUACCACCCUUUAAUGUUUGAUGUUCUAACGUUGACCCGUGAUCCGGGUUGCGGACAGUGUCUGGUGGGUAGUUUGACUGGGGCGGUCUCCUCCUAAAGAGUAACGGAGGAGCACGAAGGUUGGCUAAUCCUGGUCGGACAUCAGGAGGUUAGUGCAAUGGCAUAAGCCAGCUUGACUGCGAGCGUGACGGCGCGAGCAGGUGCGAAAGCAGGUCAUAGUGAUCCGGUGGUUCUGAAUGGAAGGGCCAUCGCUCAACGGAUAAAAGGUACUCCGGGGAUAACAGGCUGAUACCGCCCAAGAGUUCAUAUCGACGGCGGUGUUUGGCACCUCGAUGUCGGCUCAUCACAUCCUGGGGCUGAAGUAGGUCCCAAGGGUAUGGCUGUUCGCCAUUUAAAGUGGUACGCGAGCUGGGUUUAGAACGUCGUGAGACAGUUCGGUCCCUAUCUGCCGUGGGCGCUGGAGAAUUGAGGGGGGCUGCUCCUAGUACGAGAGGACCGGAGUGGACGCAUCACUGGUGUUCGGGUUGUCAUGCCAAUGGCACUGCCCGGUAGCUAAAUGCGGAAGAGAUAAGUGCUGAAAGCAUCUAAGCACGAAACUUGCCCCGAGAUGAGUUCUCCCUGACUCCUUGAGAGUCCUGAAGGAACGUUGAAGACGACGACGUUGAUAGGCCGGGUGUGUAAGCGCAGCGAUGCGUUGAGCUAACCGGUACUAAUGAACCGUGAGGCUUAACCUUACAACGCCGAAG
rnacentral:rRNA from 1 species